CGAAAAGUGUAAAUGAGACAAAGCAUUUGCUUCCUGCGAAGUGGGUUUCUCUCUGGUGUGCAUUCAGUGACUUCAGCACGCGGGAGUUGGCUUUCCUGCCAAAGCGGCAGCUUGAGGCUCUGGGUUGCACAGCUUUGCUCCCAGGAAGAGCUGGGAGAUCUUCUAUGUCUCUUCUAUGUGGGUGGCCUUGUUGCAGCCACAAGCCGGGUUCCCACGGCAGGGCCUUCGGGGGCUAGUGGGCUCCUCCUGUCUGCAGCUUUCUGGGGUGGGCAAGGGAGCAAGUGUAGCAGAGUCAGAGGAGGAUGCAGGGCUGAGAAAAAGUCAUGCAUUUGGGCCGAGCAUGGUGGCUCACGACUGUAAUCCCAGCCCUUUGGGGGGCCGAGGCGGGAGCAUCACUUGAGCCCAGGUGUUCGAGACCAGCCUGGCCAAUAUGAUGAAACCCCAUCUCCACUAAAAAAAUACAAAAAUUAGCCUGGUGUGGUGCACAUGCCUAUAAUCCCAGCAACUCUGGAAGCUGAGGCAGGAGAAUUGCUUGAACCCAGGAGGCGGAGGUUGCAGCGAGCCAAGAUCACGCCAUUGCACUCCAGCCUGCGCAACAAGUGAAACUCUAUCUCAAAACAAAACAAAACAAACAAACAAAAACAAAAAAACCCACAUGCAUUUGGGGGAAUUUUGGUGGGGCGUGAACUUGAGCAUCUGAAGGGAAAUUGAAGAAGGAUCAGUGAGUGAGGUAAUCGCGUGGGAUGUGAAUGGGAAGAGCAAUCAUGGUGGAAGUCACUGGCGGGAGGAGGUGCCUGCAACCCGGGAGGAAGGAGAAACGGAGCCUCCUGGCAGCCAGGACGAGGCUGAAAAGAAGGUGAUCCAAGGAGCUCUUGUUGCUUGGCUCUGGGUUUAACUGGCAGAGAGACUGCCCUGCUGCGGCCUGUCUGAGCGCGCGUUCCCUGCCCCCAGGUUCCUCCUGGUUUUCUCCUGCCUCGUGCUGUCUGUGUUUUCCACCAUC
rnacentral:lncRNA from 1 species